GGGGUUGUGGCUCAAUGGUAGAGCACUUGCUUAGCAUGUGCAAGACACUGGGUUCGAUUCUCAGCACCACA
rnacentral:tRNA from 1 species